AUUCUUCGAUUACAAUUCAUUGGCUCACCUUGUUUGUAGGAAUUUUCCUAGUACUAAUUUUUAUCAAAUUAUAAAAUUGUACAAUUUAUUAGCUGUAAAUAGCACAAUCUUGCAAUAUAUAUAUGGUGUUUCUGGGCAGUUGUACGGAUUGGUCGCACGGAUGCAGUCAUUUUUUUUACCAUUGAUAUUGUAAUGGGCGGUCUUCAUACAUCGUACGUACCAUUGGUAUAGAAGUGUUGCGGUGUGGUUUUUGUUAGGGGAUACUUACCUGGUGUACUUUUCGAGAAUUGUAGGGUAUCUUAUUUAGGGUUUUAGAUCUGAACAAAGGUUUUUCUAGGUUCUGAAAUCGCAGUGGGACUAAGAAACUCUUCUUCUCCUUUGAGGUGUAAGUGAGGUUUGUCUUUCUAUUAUCUCUUCCUUGCCUGAGAUUCAUAUUGAAGAAUUUGAAUGUGCUUGGUAUAUAUGUAACUGGCCCUGUAUAUCGUUGUGGUGGAGGCUCUGCAUGCCGAGUCAAGGAGCAAAAUAACUCACUCUUCGAAGAAUCUUAAAGAUGAGUUUUUGAUUUUUUGGGAAAUCCAGAAGAUAGGAAGAGACAACUUGUUUUAUGUUUACCUUUAUUUUCGUUUGGCUAUGAAGGUUUGUGUACCUAUUUUAUGUGUAGCUUUUGUUUUCUCUAAAUCUGUAUUUUCUUUUAGCUACAGAGAUUGACGAUGAAGGUUUCUGUUUCAUGAUUUGUCUGAUGUAUUUCCAUCAUUGGGAUUUCUACAAAAAAAAAUUUAACCGUACCCACAAAAUUCUUCUUUUCUAAGAACUGAAUAAGUGAUGUUGCAGAAUGAAUGCGGAGGGAGGAGUGGGGCAGUGACUCAGCAGGGGAUAAAUGAACAAAUUCGAAGAAUAAGCGACAUUGGCAUCGAAUUAUCUGGGUGUGCUAAUGUCAAUUUUGGCAGCCCGUCUUGAACGUAUAGGUUUGCAAGUCCACAACAUACCUUAAUCAUGAAUUUGAUGCAAGCAGUGUGUUGAAGCAAUAAAUUUGUCUUUCUAUAUUUGGAGGUAUGAACCAACGGUAGAUGAUGCUAUGACACUAUUCCGAUGAUGAAGAUCACCUUUGACUCGUCGGGGAUACUUGCAAGAAAGACACUCCGAUGCCUAAGUCAGUAUCGAAUUCGAUCCCCUAAUUCGAAUAAGAAUCUCAUAUUUAUAGAGCAAAAAUGUAAAAUGGUUAGUUGGUUCAAGCAAACCCAUGAUUGGUGGAGGAAAGAUAACCGAAUUUCCCUCCAAAACACGCUGAUUUUAAAUUAUGUAUUCGGAGGUCAGAGGCGCAGACCGCCUCUGACCCAUGGCUUCUGCCUUCGGAGCUUCUGCAGGCCAAAGCGAUUCAUUUUGAAUGUUCAGUAAAUGAGGAUAGAACUUUGGGCCGAAUAUUUUGGGCCCAACAGAUGCCCCCUGGCCCAAGCUUCGAACAGACGAGGCAUGCUAAAUUACUCGAAUCUUGGGCCGACUCUUCAAUGCCAAAUUUUUUGCCCAAAGCCGUCAUUCUCCACAGAUCGAGGGGUUCGUAGGUACACGAUCAUUGAAUCUCCUGACAAGCUACAUUUAAAAUUUAAUGCAAACACAAUUACCGAGUGAAGCACUCGAUUCAGAAUUUUACUUCUCAUUUAACUAGUUCUAAUUCAAAAUAAUUCUCAUUCAAAUUUUUCAAACUUUAUUCUAAACUUUCUAGAAAAGAGCUCUGAGGGAAGAAACCCUAAAGAUAACCAUCCUUCUAAUCUUACAACGAUCAUCUCAAUCUUCUCGAUCAUGUCUUCACGCU